ACUCCUACGGGAGGCAGCAGUAGGGAAUCUUCCGCAAUGGGCGAAAGCCUGACGGAGCAAUGCCGCGUGAGUGAAGAAGGCCUUCGGGUCGUAAAACUCUGUUAUAAGAGAAGAACAAAUUGUAGAGUAACUGCUACAGUCUUGACGGUAUCUUAUCAGAAAGCCACGGCUAACUACGUGCCAGCAGCCGCGGUAAUACGUAGGUGGCAAGCGUUGUCCGGAUUUAUUGGGCGUAAAGGGAGCGCAGGUGGUUUCUUAAGUCUGAUGUGAAAGCCCACGGCUUAACCGUGGAGGGUCAUUGGAAACUGGGAAACUUGAGUACAGAAGAGGAAUGUGGAACUCCAUGUGUAGCGGUGGAAUGCGUAGAUAUAUGGAAGAACACCAGUGGCGAAGGCGACAUUCUGGUCUGUUACUGACACUGAGGCUCGAAAGCGUGGGGAGCAAACAGGAUUAGAUACCCUGGUAGUCCACGCCGUAAACGAUGAGUGCUAGGUGUUGGAGGGUUUCCGCCCUUCAGUGC
rnacentral:rRNA from 1 species